rnacentral:rRNA from 1 species
AACGAACGCUGGCGGCAUGCCUAACACAUGCAAGUCGAACGAGACCUUCGGGUCUAGUGGCGCACGGGUGCGUAACGCGCGGGAACCUGCCCUUAGGUUCGGAAUAACUCCCCGAAAGGGGUGCUAAUACCGGAUAAUGUCUUCGGACCAAAGAUUUAUCGCCUUUGGAUGGGCCCGCGUUGGAUUAGCUAGUUGGUAGGGUAAAAGCCUACCAAGGCGACGAUCCAUAGCUGGUCUGAGAGGAUGAUCAGCCACACUGGGACUGAGACGCGGCCCAGACUCCUACGGGAGGCAGCAGUGGGGAAUAUUGGACAAUGGGCGAAAGCCUGAUCCAGCAAUGCCGCGUGAGUGAUGAAGGCCUUAGGGUUGUAAAGCUCUUUUACCCGGGAUGAUAAUGACAGUACCGGGAGAAUAAGCUCCGGCUAACUCCGUG